AGGGUUCGAGUUCUGGCUCAGGACGAACGCUGGCGGCGUGCUUAACACAUGCAAGUCGAACGGGAGUAUUGAAGAAGCUUGCUUAGAGAUACUUUAGUGGCGGACGGGUGAGUAACGCGUGAGGAGCUGUCCUAUGCAGGGGGACAACAGCUGGAAACGGCUGCUAAUACCCCAUAAGCCGAGAGGUAAAAGGAUCAAUCCGGCAGAGGAGGUACUCGCGUCCUAUCAGCUAGUAGGUGAGGUAACGGCUCACCUAGGCGAAGACGGGUAGCCGGCCUGAGAGGGCGAACGGCCACACUGGAACUGAGAUACGGUCCAGACUCCUACGGGAGGCAGCAGUGGGGAAUAUUGGGCAAUGGGGGAAACCCUGACCCAGCGACGCCGCGUGGGUGAAGAAAUCCUUCGGGAUGUAAAGCCCUGUUGUAUGGGAAGAGCGGAAGACGGUACCAUACGAGGAAGCCCCGGCAAACUACGUGCCAGCAGCAGC
rnacentral:rRNA from 1 species